ACCUCGCAGGAGUGGAUAUUCUUCAUUUCCUCCGGGAUCCUCAUUGCUGGGGUGCUCAUGUAAGUGCAGUCCUUGCGAAGUUUCUUAAGGGGGAACUGUGAUAUGGGAAUAAAAAUUGUUCCUUUUGGCGCCAUCUUUUGCUCGUUGUCGUCAAUAUUGUGUACUAUCCAAAGCUGCAAUAACAUGAAGUAUUAGCAUGAAUAUAAGCUGC
rnacentral:sRNA from 1 species